rnacentral:rRNA from 1 species
UACAGAGGGUGCGAGCGUUGUUCGGAAUCAUUGGGCGUAAAGCGCUUGUAGGCGGCCUGUCAAGUCGCGUGUGAAAUCCCCUGGCUUAACCAGGGAAGUGCGCGCGAAACUGGCGGGCUUGAGUGCCGGAGAGGGUCGCGGAAUUCCCGGUGUAGAGGUGAAAUUCGUAGAUAUCGGGAGGAACACCAGUGGCGAAGGCGGCGAC